UGAAGUUCUUUAAAAAUUAUUCACAUAUUUUGGUGGCAAAUGUUUAGUGCUUCAUUCACAUGCAGGAUUUUUGUUUCCAACCAGGCACUGUGGAAGCAGGCAGCAUCCCAGACCUGUGGAGGAGCUCAGCAGGAGAACAAGUGGGGGAAAAUAUUCCCAAUGUCACGCUGCUGCUGGUGGCUCAGGCACAGGAACAGGGGCCUGUGGUGGUCCAGCUCGUUGGAAAGUUUUGUGCAGAAACCAGGAGGAUCUAACAGCUGGAGCUAAUCCGGAAACAGCACCACCAGCAACAACAGUUUGCUCUGGACCAGAAAAAAAGUGGAAGAGGUGGGGCUAAGAGGGAUUUUCUCCUUCAAAAGAAGAAAUGUUGCUUUCCAGGCACCUGUAUGCUGAAAUGGAUUGAAAUGCAGGUGAGGUGGAUUCCUUCCUCUGCAGGGUGCUGGAAAGAGCAGAGUUUGUUUAGGUCUUGGGGUGAUUUGGGCUGGUGCCCUGCAUUGCUCUGGGGGCAUCCCUUUCUCAGAGAGCAUCCCAUUCCC
rnacentral:lncRNA from 1 species